CAAGGGGAAGGGCGAAUUGAAAAAUUACUUGGUCUUUUUGACCACAUGGGUAAUUCUGUUGAGAGCAGUUGUGCAGUUCUAGAGAGCUUGGGAACAAUGGAUGUAGGGACACAUAGAUAACAGAGUAAAGAAAGAGGAAGGACGAGGAGGAGGAGGAGAGGAAGCAGAAGAAAAGAUAAGAAGAAUAAGUCUGAAAGAGUGCAGAGAGCAGCCCAGUGUUAAGGAAAUAAGAGGAUGUCAGGUGCUGAUGUGUGGAUCCCAAGGUGAAUGAAGAUUCCUCUGGAGGCCAGGUGAGCUGAUGUGGUACAGGCAGGGGCCUAGUUGUUCCUAGGGUGCUGGGUUGCUUGGAUGUUGUGUUCCUUGGUUGGUGGCAAGUUUCUUGGCUAGGGGAUGAAUCAGCUGUUGAGUUUCUUGCAUGGUGGCUGGUCAGUGUCUUAGUGGGUGGGUUUGUUGGGUUGUAAAACCCUGGCACUCUGUUCUUGGCCUUCAGUAAAAUAGGAUAUAUCCGUAAAGGAGGCCCAAACCAAUGAGUAUGGCGAAUACAUCCACACAGCCAGUUCGGCCUGAGUUGGUAUAAGCUUCUUCCCAGUUGCUGUUCCAGUUGGCAACUGAAGUCUGUAGGGGAGGGGCGGGGGGCAUAGGUAUGGGUUUCUGGUCCAGAAUCCCGUGGGAGAAUGGUUGGGGCCCUUUGCUUUUGAGGGUGAACCCUUACCCAGGUCCCAAGACAGGAGUGGAUGAAGGGGGUAAGCAGCGGACAGGAAGGGCCAUGACUUGGGCAUUGUUUUACCUUAUAGCAGAAGUAGACACUUAUGAGUCCCAAGGGAGGGCAAAAAACUAUAGCCAAGAGAGUCAAACAUAAAUAAUUCGGAGCAUAAAAGGCCAGUUCUUCAGGCGUCUGUUUAGGACUCCUAUCUGGGUCAGGUGGAGCACCCUGGGCAGGCGGAGCACCCGGGGCAGGCCGAGCACCCCGGGCAGGCGGAGCACCCGGGGCAGGCCGAGCACCCCGGGCAGGCGGAGCACCCCGGGCAGGCCGAGCACCCCGGGCAGGCGGAGCACCCGGGGCAGGCCGAGCACCCCGGGCAGGCGGAGCACCCCGGGCAGGCCGAGCACCCCGGGCAGGCGGAGCACCCCGGGCAGGCCGAGCACCCCGGGCAGGUGGAGCACCCCGGGCAGGUGGAGCACCCGGGGCAGGUGGAGCACCCUGAGCAGGUUGGGCUUUCGGUUUCGGGCCCAUGAUUUUUCCACUCAGAAAAAGACAGGUCCGAGUGUUUUGAAAACAGAGACCCAGGCCACUGCUCCUCUCCUUGCUCUACCCAGAAUUCCAAGACUCAGAUGUCAAAGUCCAGUUCUUCAUAAU
rnacentral:lncRNA from 1 species